rnacentral:rRNA from 1 species
GCCUGCCCAGUGACCACAAAGUUUAACGGCCGCGGUAUCCUGACCGUGCGAAGGUAGCGUAAUCAUUUGUCUUUUAAAUAGAGACCUGUAUGAAUGGCAUAACGAGGGUUUAACUGUCUCCUUCCCCUAGUCAAUGAAAUUGAUCUGCCCGUGCAGAAGCGGACAUAAAUACAUAAGACGAGAAGACCCUAUGGAGCUUUAGACAAAAGAUCAAACAUGUAAAGAAACCAAGUUAACCAAAAGGAACACAAAGGCCACGAAACCCGACGUAAACUGAUCCAAAUGUCUUCGGUUGGGGCGACCAUGGGGGAGAAAAAAGCCCCCACGAGGAACAGGGACUAAUCCCUAAGCCAAGAGAGACAUCUCUAAGCAACAGAAAAUCUGACCAAAAGUGACCCAGAAUACUAAUUCUGAUCAACGAACCAAGUUACCCUAGGGAUAACAGCGCAAUCCUUUCCCAGAGUCCAUAUCGACGAAAGGGUUUACGACCUCGAUGUUGGAUCAGGACA